rnacentral:lncRNA from 1 species
GUAUUAGGGUCUUACAAGUUGGUAUCAGAGCCCUGGUUUGAGCGAAUCAAGUACGAGAAGAUAAAUACUUGAACUCAAACCUGUGUGCUCUUGUGAUAAAGAACCCGUACAAUCCACGACUCGAUCAAGAUCUAAAGGUAGAAAUGGAAUGAAAGCAUGUAAACAUAAGUGUCUGAAGAGGAUGGUCCGUGGAUGCAGGAUAGGAUGAAUACUAAGGCUGGCAAAGGUGUAAAUAAGCUAAUGAACCCCAGGUACACACUAUUAAUAUGUAUGGGUAUCAAUGUUGAAAGAAAAAGGAAGAAAUCUCCUUGGGAAGGUAAUUAUUAAACGAAAGGCAAUGAUGUGGUCUUGGGGAAAUUUUAGAAAUGUGCACGAAACUGAAACCCAUUUCUCGGACAUAAGGCGAUGAUUACACGAAGGCACGAAACUAGUAUGUGGAUUGCGCACCUGGCCAGUACGCAAGAAGCAUAUGACGUUCGU